rnacentral:rRNA from 1 species
GCGGGUCGAAGGAGUCGGUGCUGGAUCCGUGGCGUCAAGCGUGAGUGUGCGUGCGUGCGCUCAGUCUCGCCUCGCUGGCGCUGUCGGCGGAGGGGAGUACAAGCGGCGCGGUGGCGGACCGGCGGCCGCUGAAGGGGGUGCGGGGCAGGUCAGGGUCCCUGACGGAGCGAGGAAGGGCGAACAGAGGGACUGUAUCGGGCCCCGGCAGCGAGAAGGAGUUAGGGGACGAGCCGACGAGGGGCGACGAGUUCUGACACCUAACGGACAGACGGUGACAACGAGAUCGGUCCGCUGCGGCGGCGAGAUUAGGCCGGUAACGGACUUAGGCCUAAGGGGCAGAGGCGCGGCGGUGAGAUGAGACCGGUGAGGGGCUGAGGCCUGAUGUUAAAUUAACUACAUAUCGGGUACAGACACAUACUAUACUUCUUUCAAAUUGACUGGGAGUUGAUAAGUCAGUAGCAAGGACGGAUUAAUAUAUCAUACAUAUUAGCUAAACUUUGACUUCGAAAAAAUACAGUUAAGUAAAGUAUGAAGUCUUUUAUCUUCUAUUCUAUAAAGAGUUCGGAUAUCCCUAGCGUCUCCCGAAGAUGGAGGAGUAUCUCCACAACGAAGAAGAAGACGGCGUCUACUACAAUACCCUCCGUGCUUACUUUAUUUGUUGACUAAACCAUGAGAAUAUAGGGACAUAAUAAAGACCAAAAUAGUACAAAAUAGAGAAGAUAACCUAACAAUUCGUGGUUCUAAUUUAAAAUCCUAAUAACUUGUUGACUUAAAUAAACCAAACAAUAACGUAUAAUAGAAAAAAUUUACAGUACUACACAAAAACCCAUCAAUAUCCACGGUUUCAAAAGGGAACAACGGCUUUUUUACUUUUUUAUAUGAAAAGCAGGGAGUUAAAAACUGCCUCAGUAAACCAGGGAGUUGAUACUUUGGCCUGUUAGACGUGAGGUUUAAGAACUUUGGCCUGUGUAAACCAGGGGGCUGAGUUGACUUCGCCAUAGGUACGGUUGAGUCGUAACAAAACUGGCCCAGUACACAUCCACCGUUAUAAAGAUAAAGAGAAGUAGGUAGAGGAUAGAUCUGUAGCAGUUUGUUAACUGCACGUGAACGACGUGGUGCCGUGUUGGCAGAUGCUCGGUCGCGACGGUGGUAACCACCGGGUCGAUUGCUGGUGCGUGGCGGCCGACGGGACGACCGGUGAUUUGUACGGCGAGGUUCGGCAGUACGUACACUGAGGCGCGGAGACCGACGUGGGUGACGGCGACCUGUGGAGGCGCGGAGGAGCUCGUGGACGGCAGCAGGACGCGCUGGACGAAAGCAGGCAUUGUAGAGGAACUCCGCACGGAC